UACGUAGGGUGCAAGCGUUGUCCGGAAUUAUUGGGCGUAAAGAGCUCGUAGGCGGUUUGUCGCGUCUGCUGUGAAAAUCCAGGGCUUAACCCUGGACCUGCAGUGGGUACGGGCAGACUAGAGUGCGGUAGGGGUGACUGGAAUUCCUGGUGUAGCGGUGGAAUGCGCAGAUAUCAGGAGGAACACCGGUGGCGAAGGCGGGUCUCUGGGCAGUAACUGACGCUGAGGAGCGAAAGCGUGGGGAGCGAACAGG
rnacentral:rRNA from 1 species